AUACGUAGGGUGCAAGCGUUCAUCUGAAUUACUGGGCGUAAAGCGUGCGCAGGCGGCUUUUGAAGUACGCAGUGCACAUCCCGGGCCCCAACUGGGAACUGCCUUUGUACCUGCCAGGCUUCAGCACGGCUGACGCGGAUGGAAGUCCGUGUGGUGGCGUGCAAUGCGUAGAUAUGCGGUGGGACACCGACGGCGAAGGCAAUCCCCUGGGCCUGUACUGACGCUCAUACACGAAAGCGUGGGGAGCAAACAGGAUUAGAUACCCUGGUAGUCCACGCCCUAAACGAUGUCAACUGGUUGUUGGGUCUUCAUUGACUCAGUAACGAGGCUAACGCGUGAAGUUGACCGCCUGGGGAGUACGGCCGCAAGGUUGAAACUUAAAGGAAUUGACGGGG
rnacentral:rRNA from 1 species